rnacentral:rRNA from 1 species
AGGGUUUGAUCAUGGCUCAGAUUGAACGCUGGCGGAAUGCUUUACACAUGCAAGUCGAACGGCAGCACGGGUGCUUGCACCUGGUGGCGAGUGGCGAACGGGUGAGUAACAUAUCGGAACGUACCCAGUAAUGGGGGAUAACUAACCGAAAGGUUAGCUAAUACCGCAUACGCCCUGAGGGGGAAAGCGGGGGAUCGAAAGACCUCGCGUUAUUGGAGCGGCCGAUAUCUGAUUAGCUAGUUGGUGAGGUAAAGGCUCACCAAGGCGACGAUCAGUAGCUGGUCUGAGAGGAUGAUCAGCCACACUGGAACUGAGACACGGUCCAGACUCCUACGGGAGGCAGCAGUGGGGAAUUUUGGACAAUGGGGGAAACCCUGAUCCAGCCAUUCCGCGUGAGUGAAGAAGGCCUUCGGGUUGUAAAGCUCUUUCGGCAGGGAAGAAACGCUCUGGAUUAAUACUCUGGGGUAAUGACGGUACCUGAAGAAGAAGCACCGGCUAACUACGUGCCAGCAGCC